rnacentral:tRNA from 1 species
UCCUUGGAGGACUAGUGGUUAGGCCUCGGCGCUCUCGUCACCACGGCCUGGGUUCGAUUCCCAGCAAGCGAA